CAGUCGAGCGGACAGAUGGGAGCUUGCUCCCUGAUGUUAGCGGCGGACGGGUGAGUAACACGUGGGUAACCUGCCUGUAAGACUGGGAUAACUCCGGGAAACCGGGGCUAAUACCGGAUGGUUGUUUGAACCGCAUGGUUCAAACAUAAAAGGUGGCUUCGGCUACCACUUACAGAUGGACCCGCGGCGCAAUAGCUAGUUGGUGAGGUAACGGCUCACCAAGGCGACGAUGCGUAGCCAACCUGAGAGGGUGAUCGGCCACACUGGGACUGAGACACGGCCCAGACUCCUACGGGAGGCAGCAGUAGGGAAUCUUCCGCAAUGGACGAAAGUCUGACGGAGCAACGCCGCGUGAGUGAUGAAGGUUUUCGGAUCGUAAAGCUCUGUUGUUAGGGAAGAACAAGUACCGUUCGAAUAGGGCGGUACCUUGACGGUACCUAACCAGAAAGCCACGGCUAACUACGUGCCAGCAGCCGCGGUAAUACGUAGGUGGCAAGCGUUGUCCGGAAUUAUUGGGCGUAAAGGGCUCGCAGGCGGUUUCUUAAGUCUGAUGUGAAAGCCCCCGGCUCAACCGGGGAGGGUCAUUGGAAACUGGGGAACUUGAGUGCAGAAGAGGAGAGUGGAAUUCCACGUGUAGCGGUGAAAUGCGUAGAGAUGUGGAGGAACACCAGUGGCGAAGGCGACUCUCCUGGUCUGUAACUGACGCUGAGGAGCGAAAGCGUGGGGAGCGAACAGGAUUAGAUACCCUGGUAGUCCACGCCGUAAACGAUGAGUGCUAAGUGUUAGGGGGUUUCCGCCCCUUAGUGCUGCAGCUAACGCAUUAAGCACUCCGCCUGGGGAGUACGGUCGCAAGACUGAAACUCAAAGGAAUUGACGGGGGCCCGCACAAGCGGUGGAGCAUGUGGUUUAAUUCGAAGCAACGCGAAGAACCUUACCAGGUCUUGACAUCCUCUGACAAUCCUAGAGAUAGGACGUCCCCUUCGGGGGCAGAGUGACAGGUGGUGCAUGGUUGUCGUCAGCUCGUGUCGUGAGAUGUUGGGUUAAGUCCCGCAACGAGCGCAACCCUUGAUUUUAGUUGCCAGCAUUCAGUUGGGCACUUUAAGGUGACUG
rnacentral:rRNA from 1 species